GCAUGGAAGGGGCCACACCUAAUCUGAGAAAGGGCAUCUAGAAAGCCUGCAGCUAACUAACAGCACGCCCAACGGGAGGCCGCACACCAGGCCAGCUCCAGAGCAAGGCAGGCAUCUCAGCGGCAUCCCGGACAGCGGAAUAAGGCAUAAAAAGGCGCAAGGUGCAAAUAUGGGACAGAAGGCCAACGUUUCCCAGUCAAUCUACAGCUUCAACUCCAGCCCAGACAGAAACCGGCAGCUGACCGCACAAUGAACGUGGCAUCAGGAGGGGCCGAAACUACCCUGGGAAGAGCAAAGCGGGAGGCUCAGCAGACCUUAAACCCUUGUCCCAGCAGGUCUUGCCCGAGUGCCCCUUCCCCAAGGACCAGCGGUCCGACACGGCCCCUCUGCUCCUCCCAGCUCUCAGCACCGCUGCGGGGACUCAGCCCCACUUGGCGGGGGCGGGGACGCUCCUGCACCUGUGUCAUUCCCAGCAAGCUUUCCCCGUACCACACUGGGAAAUGGCUCCCUCCUCAACAUCUGAAAUUUCCAUCUCUAGUCACGACAUAAGCAUUGGUUUUAAUCAUCCCAGCAUUCCUCCUCUACUUUCUGACAAUAAACUGAAAUCAGAUUCUCUUGAGCCAGGGCCGUGCUGAUGGCUACUUCCCCAUGGUGGCUGAGGGGGACACCUUAUCGUCUCCUCAAACACCAGCAACAGCCCUGGGGAGUUGCCAAAAAGCAAAAAGUCCUGAGCACGUGUUCAAGAGCUCAGCCACGCUGACUGACUGCCCAUCAGGACAGUGCCUCGUCGGUCACCCACGUGCAGGCUCAAGUCGCUUUACAACACAAGGCUAGUGUUCAACUGUCCAGCUUUCAAGAAAACUCGGCCAGACAGCACUGUGAGCUCCACACGCCCGCACUCACCAGGAGAGCCAUACUCGUGCCGGGGCAGGCGGCAGAUCUUGGGCAUCACCUCCAUCAGCGUCUUCACGUACUGCAGGAUUGUGCCUUGCAGCUGCCGGGGAGAUGAGACAGGCUGCAUCAGCCACCCAACUCCACUCUGCUAACGCCUGUGGCCGGCGCACACCCUGAAACAAGUCUGUUAGCAAAGAGCUCGGUAGCCAGCAAGGCUGCAGGAUCGUCUGGCUGGGGAAUAAAAUCCACCCUUGGAGAGAGAGCAACCAUCACCAGGUGGCUUCCCAUGACUGAAUUCGUGUUCUGAAACUGGACUCCUCUUUCAAGAUGAAAGCGGUCCCGGGGUGCCACAAUGAGGGGAGAGCUUUGUUGCCAGGUGUCUCCUAUGGGGAUGCACCCCAGCAUCGUGAGCACUGCCAGCUCCAGGGUCCCCCAGGACGCUGUCUGUGCUCCUGGGUGCGGCCCCAGGCUCAGCUGUGGUGAGGUCAGCAAUCCUAACACCCCCCAAGCUGCCACAUGUUUUGGGACAGAGUCCCCAGCAGGUCCUGGAAGGAUCUGUUUGGGUCACGGGGUGAUGGCUGUGCCAAGUGACCAAACUCUUACAUGGUCUCAAGUCACAGAAGAUUAAAAUAAUAAAAAGGAUGAAAAAUUAUAAAAA